rnacentral:rRNA from 1 species
AUUGAACGCUGGCGGCAGGCCUAACACAUGCAAGUCGAACGAGUGGCGGACGGGUGAGUAAUGUCUGGGAAACUGCCCGAUGGAGGGGGAUAACUACUGGAAACGGUCGCUACUACCGCAUACCAUCGGAUGUGCCCAGAUGGGCUUAGCUUGUAGGUGAGGUAACGGCUCACCUAGGCGACGAUCCCUAGCUGGUCUGAGAGGAUGACCAGCCAGACUGGAACUGAGACACGGGCCAGACUCCUACGGGAGGCAGCAGUGGUGAAUAUGGCACAAUGGGCGCAAGCCUGAUGCAGCCAUGCCGCGUGUAGGAAGAAGGCCUGCGGGUUGGAAAGUACUUGCAGCGGGGAGGCUUUACCCGCAGAAGAAGCACCGGCUAACUCCGUGCCAGCAGCCGCGGUAAUAC